rnacentral:rRNA from 1 species
GACGAACGCUGGCGGCGUGCUUAACACAUGCAAGUCGAACGGAAAGGCCCUGCUUUUGUGGGGUGCUCGAGUGGCGAACGGGUGAGUAACACGUGAGUAACCUGCCCUUGACUUUGGGAUAACUUCAGGAAACUGGGGCUAAUACAGGAUAGGAGCUCCUGCUGCAUGGUGGGGGUUGGAAAGUUUCGGCGGUUGGGGAUGGACUCGCGGCUUAUCAGCUUGUUGGUGGGGUAGUGGCUUACCAAGGCUUUGACGGGUAGCCGGCCUGAGAGGGUGACCGGCCACAUUGGGACUGAGAUACGGCCCAGACUCCUACGGGAGGCAGCAGUGGGGAAUAUUGCACAAUGGGCGGAAGCCUGAUGCAGCAACGCCGCGUGCGGGAUGACGGCCUUCGGGUUGUAAACCGCUUUCGCCUGUGACGAAGCGUGAGUGACGGUAAUGAGUAAAGAAGCACCGGCUAACUACGUG